UACACACUACCAAGUAGGCGCUAUUUUUGUCCAGAUGUUGCCAUACCGGAGUUACACAGUAUUGUUGAAACACAUCCAUGAGCUACUUGUUAUGGGCGUCACUGCUAUUAGCUUCACGAUUGACAAUUGGAGCAGCGAUUUCGGCCCCAUGAGCAUGCUGAGUCUGACAGCACAGUGGGUUGAUGAGGAUUUCGUACAGAGGAAAGUCGUAUUGCAUGUUUAAGAAUGUGCUGGUUCUCAUACCGCUGCUGUCAUUUCAAUGGCAUUUUAGAACAUGUUUGAAACUUGGAAACAUGAACACACUCCUAGCGCCAGACUCGAGAAAUAAGCUAAUCAACUGCGUCUGCAGCAGACGUGAUGCUUUCUGUCAUGGCAUUAAAACGCCUGCUCAACAAAACUGCCCACAGACCGUGGGGUUAAAACUUGCAAAAGUACUCUACUAGAGGCUGUGAACAAACGAUUCGUUGGCAUUCACUCUGAGCCUCUUUACUGUGUCACCACCAUGCUCGAUGCUAGGUACAAGUACCGCUACUUCGAUGCAGACAAGAAAUAGGGUUUCCGUGAAAUGCUAGACAGCUGGACAAGAUGGACAUGGACACAGUGACAGUGUGCACCGAGGAAGAGAGGCCACGGACAGAGAGAGCUGAAACUUCACUGCUUGACCUGUAUGAUGAAAUCCUGGUUGAGAAUGAAAGGACUGGACAAAUGAACAAUGCAACAGCACAGCAAGUACCAGGGCUGCCGAGUUUGAGGGGCGGACAGUCAGCUGGGGGACACGGGGCUACUGCUAGGAGCCGGGACUGGUAUCCUUUUUUUUCUUUUGGGGGAACUUUGGAUUGUUUUGAAUAUGUUGGGCCGAAAUUUGGGUUGAGGGUGGGACCCUCAUUUUAAGGAAGGGGUUGUCAUGACCCCUCCUCUGCAUUGCAGGGGCGGUUCCUCCUGCAGGCAGAGGAGGGUCGUUAGUGAUUGGAGCCACAUGGGCUCAGGGUAUUUAAACUGCUUCACUAACCACUCUUGUCUCUCUCUCUGCUCCUCCAGGUAUGUCCAGGUCCUGUUUUGUUUGUUCCUUUGUAGUUUUACGUAGUUUUCACUCAGUCAUAUUCACACACAGAUUCACGCAUCCCUGCACUUUAUAUACAUCCUACACUAUGAUACUUUCACACCUCAUUCCCUUUUCUUCGUUUAAAGUUAAUAGUUUUUGGUUUAUAAUAAAGAACCUUUUUGAUUGGCCUAUACCUGUUGUUCGUGUCCCCUUAUUUUUGCCACAGGCUAUGAGCCGGCCUGUGACAGUAUGAAUUUCCAGUUCACUUGAUUGGAGAUUAUCUGAUGAGGAGAACGAAGAUCCAGAAGUCCAGAAGGACAUUAAGACCUUUUAAGUACUUGAUAAAAUCCUGGCUUCAAGGAUCUCAAAUGGAAAAGGGAAGGAGUUCCAUCAACUAUGGAAGGAACUAUUGCAGCUAAAACCCAACAUAUAUUCAGAAUGUGCAGAUGAAGCAGAAAAUACAAGGAUAUUUUUGGUCCUGGCUCCUUGCAUUAGUAAGUCAAAUAGUAUCAUUUCAGAAUGCUGAUCAGUGUGGAUACUCUCUACAAUGCACAUUGACUGGAGCUUUGAGGACAAUGUUAGUCAUAGUACUCACAUGCCAAAUUACGAUUCCGUGAUAAACUAAAGAACUUGGAAAAUGGUGAUAUAAAUAAUCAGCUUUCUUGAUAACCUUACUUAGAUUCAGUCUCAGAAUUUGAAUAUGGUAAUUUGUUAUUCAUAUGCAGGCUAUGUUUUAAUAAUACAUUUUCAUUCACCCUAGUUCAUGGAUCCAGUGAAGAAGUGGACUUUGUUCCUGUGUUUGUGACUCAAGUGCCUGACAAAGAGUAUGAGACACAACACAAGUGGAGGAAAGUGAAUUUGUUUAAAUAUGCUGGAACACCAUUAUAGAUGGUAACAAUUUACAUAAUUCAUUUGCUCAUAACCCACUGUUCCCCGGGCGCUGAAGAUGUGGAUGUCGAUUAAGGCAGCCCCCGCACCUCUCUGAUUCAGAGGGGCUGGGUUAAAUGAGGAAGACACAUUUCAGUUGAAGGCAUUCAGUUGUACAACUGACUAGGUAUCUCCCUUUCCCAAGUAGGCCAAUUUAUACUAACUACUCCUGUAAUGUUAGUCUUACAAUGCAGUUGUAUUAUUCUACACUAGAUGGCAAUAUAACCCUAGGAAACAAUGUAACUGCUUUGUACUUUCACUGUAUUCUGUUUUUUCUUGGUUCUUUGAUUUCUGAAAACACCACAUAGGCAACCGGUUUCCCAUUAAACUGUCCAUGAACAACUUUCCCAUAUUCUUUUGAAUUUGCUGUUUGGUGGAUGACAUGUCACUUAAAGUCCUAGUUAGAGAGUCAUGAACAUUGUCCAGUGGGCUCUUUUUCAAAUGUCAUGUAUUUCAGUGGUCUAGAAAAAAUAAUGCAUCAGGUUUAAUUGAUAUAUGCAAAUUCUGAAUUAUUGCUUAGAUUGUUGACAAUGUCUCUCCAAAACAUCUCAGGAUGAUACUAGACAGAGCUCGCUAAUGGUUCUUAAACUCUGAGUUUAGGCUUCUGUAUGCCAUGUUUACCUGCUGGAAUCCAAACAAUGCAUGAACUCAACUCCCACACAGCAGCAGACUUGGCUGAAGUGGGUCACGAAGAGAGGGCAGAUGAGUCACAAGGCAGCCAGUCCAAUUCCCAGGAACAAAAAGAAACAAGACUUUGUGAAGAAAAACAUUGAGAUAUGUCAAAGUUCAUGUUGGUCCAAGUGCAGUGUCAGACUGUCACAUAGAUUUAGACAAGUCCCAUGUUACGUGUGUUUUUUUUUUACCCCACUGGGAAAAAUAAA